AACUGAUACUACCUGCGGGAACCUGCGGAGGGAUCAUUCACAAUAAGUGUUUUAUGGCACUUUAAUUCCAUAUCCACCUUGUGUGCAACGUAGUUCGUUUUUCGAACAAAACAUCAACAUUUUAAUUAUCAACAGAUCGUCUGAAGUAUUAUAUGAAUAAAUCAAUUCAAAAUACAACUUUUAACAAUGGAUCUCU
rnacentral:misc_RNA from 1 species